AUCUGCCCUGGGUUAGUCGGGGCCUAAGGCGAGGCCGACAGGCGUAGUCGAUGGAUAACGGGUUGAUAUUCCCGUACCGGUGAAAAACCGCCCAUACUGAUAUUGUGAUGCUAACCAUGCGAAGCAUGAUGUGCAGGCUUUUGUUUGUGUGUUGUGUGGGUUGUGGGACCCGAUCUUUGGAGGUAAACGUAUUAACAGGUGUGACGCAGGAAGGUAGCCAAGCCACGCGAUGGUUGUCGUGGUCUAAGCGUGUAGGGUUGUCGGUUGUUAAAUGCGCCGGCUGUGUGCCUGAGACGUGAUGGGACCCCGUUUUUGGGGGAUUUGGUGAUCCUAUGCUGCCGAGAAAAGCAUCGGCGUGAGGUUUUAGCCGCCCGUACCCUAAACCGACACAGGUGAUCAGGUAGAGAAUACUAAGGCGAUCGAGAGAAUCAUGGUUAAGGAACUCGGCAAAAUGCCCCCGUAACUUCGGGAGAAGGGGGACCUUGAGCGUGAUGGGCACUUGCUGCCUGGAGCGUGUAUGGGUCGCAGAGACCAGGGGGAAGCGACUGUUUAUCAAAAACACAGGUCCGUGCGAAGUCGUAAGACGAUGUAUACGGACUGACUCCUGCCCGGUGCUGGAAGGUUAAGAGGAUUGGUUAGCCCUUUUGGGCGAAGCUGAGAAUUUAAGCCCCAGUAAACGGCGGUGGUAACUAUAACCAUCCUAAGGUAGCGAAAUUCCUUGUCGGGUAAGUUCCGACCUGCACGAAUGGAGUAACGACUUCCCUACUGUCUCAACCAUGAACUCGGCGAAAUUGCAGUACGAGUAAAGAUGCUCGUUUCGCGCAGCAGGACGGAAAGACCCCGUGACCUUUACUAUAGUUUGGUAUUGGUGUUUGGUUUGGCUUGUGUAGGAUAGGUGGGAGACUGUGAAGCAUGGACGCUAGUUUGUGUGGAGUCGUUGUUGAAAUACCACUCUGGUCAAUCUGGAUGUCUAACUUCGGGCCAUGAUCUGGUUCAGGGACAGUGCCUGAUGGGUAGUUUAACUGGGGCGGUUGCCUCCUAAAGUGUAACGGAGGCGCCCAAAGGUUCCCUCAGCCUGGUUGGCAAUCAGGUGUUGAGUGUAAGUGCACAAGGGAGCUUGACUGUGAGAGUGGCGACUCGAGCAGGGACGAAAGUCGGGACUAGUGAUCCGGCAGUGGCUUGUGGAAGCGCUGUCGCUCAACGGAUAAAAGGUACCCCGGGGAUAACAGGCUGAUCUUGCCCAAGAGUCCAUAUCGACGGCAUGGUUUGGCACCUCGAUGUCGGCUCGUCGCAUCCUGGGGCUGGAGUCGGUCCCAAGGGUUGGGCUGUUCGCCCAUUAAAGCGGUACGCGAGCUGGGUUCAGAACGUCGUGAGACAGUUCGGUCCCUAUCCGCUGCGCGCGUUGGAAAUUUGAGAAAGGCUGUCCUUAGUACGAGAGGACCGGGACGGACGAACCUCUGGUAUGUCAGUUGUACCGCCAGGUGCAUGGCUGAUUGGCUACGUUCGGGAGGGAUAACCGCUGAAAGCAUCUAAGCGGGAAGCCUGUUUCGAGAUGAGAUUUCCUGGCACUUUUUGGUGUGUGAGGCUCCUUAUAGAUGAUGAGGUUGAUAGGCCGGGUAUGGAAGCGAGGACUGAAGACUCGUGGAGUUGACUGGUACUAAUAGGUCGAAGGCUUACUUU
rnacentral:rRNA from 1 species